UCGCACUGUGCUGGGCGCUGAGGAAGUGAGGUCAGUGUGGCGCAAUACUGCGCCUCCGGGACCGGUUUAAUACAGAAGGCGAUGAGGGAUCGUAGAGGGUGGUAAGCAUGACAAUAGAUCCGUGCAUGAAAGCUGCAAGAUGCAGUACAGGGAACCCUCCAUGGGUUGGGGAAGUACAGUUCUCACAAGCAAUGAAGCAUUGCCCCCAGCAUUUUGUCCCAGGGGAUCCGGGACAAAAAUGAGUUUAUGGAGAAUUCGAAGCUGCAACUUGGAAGGUCAGGGAGAAGAGGCAUCAAGACUGGAAGAUAUGUUCACAUUCAUCUACGCUUAAAGACAGAACCAAAUACCAUUCUUAUUUUGUGAUGCAGUUUUGG